rnacentral:rRNA from 1 species
UACGGAGGGUGCGAGCGUUGUCCGGAAUCACUGGGCGUAAAGGGCGCGUAGGUGGCUCGUGAAGCGUGCGGUGAAAGUCCGAGGCUCAACCUCGGAUCGGCCGUGCGGACUCGCGGGCUCGAGCGUUGUAGAGGCGGGUGGAAUUCCGGGUGUAGCGGUGGAAUGCGUAGAGAUCCGGAAGAACACCGGUGGCGAAGGCGGUCUGCUGGGCAGUUUCUGACACUGAGGCGCGACAGCGUGGGGAGCAAACAGG